CGGCCCCUGUUUUCGGCUUUUUAGGGCGGGAGAGUUGUGAGUACGAAAGCAACCGAUUGAAAGGGGGGAGAAGAGGAAGAAGGAAAGAGUAGGCGAAGUGGUUGCGGCGAUGGGUAAAAGCGACGAAUCCACCAAUUCUUUAAGCGCCUUGGACAUCGACAUCGACAUGGGCUUAGAUGAUCCUGCACCCGCCCCAAAGCCAUCCAGAUUCCAGCCCAAGUUCAAACCCAAGCUCAAACCCAAAGGAGAAUCCACACCGGCACCACUUCAUUCUCUCACUCCCAAGAAGGAGGAUGUCGAUUUUCCUCCCCUCAAUGUCCCCAAACAGGUCAAAGAGGAGGACGUUGACGAGAAGAAAGCAAUGGACGUUGGUGUCAAAGCAGAAGUUGAAGAGAAACCAAUGAUGGUGGUUGACGCGAAAGAGGAACAAGAUGAGGAAAACGCAAUGGAUGUCGAUAUCAAUGUUGACACUGAUGACGGUGAUGAAGAUACAGUUGUAAGAGAAAUCGAUGUUUUCUUCACUCCUCUACUCGAUACCAGCACUCAGCUAUAUCUUAUGCAAUAUCCUUUUAGGCCCUGUUGGCGUCCAUAUGAAAUCAAUGAAAGAUGUCAAGAGGUUAGGGUACAGCCUAAACAAUCAAAACUUGAAGUUGAUUUGGAGAUGAACGUUGAUCCAGACAUAUAUAAUGAGGAGGUUCCAGAGCCUUUGAGGAUGCAAAAGCAGACGUUGACAUCAUCCAAGGCGCCAUAUGUAACUAGCUAUGCUGUUGGGAUUCUAACAGGCGAUAAGUUAUACCUGAAUCCUAUUCAUGCAGUUGUGCAGCUUCGAUCAUCAAUGGCAUACUUGAAUGCUGGCAAGUUUCGGAAGAAGUCCAAUGUUAUUGGGAGUUCAGAAAUUACAACCAAAUCUGGUGAGGGAAAGCUGGCGUCAGAAGCAUCAAAUGAGCUAAAGACGGAAGACAUAGAGGUGUCAUGGCUUCCACUUGAAUAUCAUGCUAUCGACAGCUCUAUUUCAAGCCGAUAUCGACUAAACAUGGUUGCGGAAGAAAGUCGUCAUUUACAAUUUUCCAUGAGCUUGUAUAAUUAUGGGAACUCUAUAUGUCCAGGAACGUCUAAUAACAUCAGGAGAUCAAAAGGCCCUCCAAGAAGGUUCUUGCUUAAAUUACCAUUGGAAGAACGGUUCAAGAGGUGGCUUUCUGAGGGGCCUCACGUGCAUCGCUUUGCUGCGCUUGUGCAUCUUGCUCCUGAAAACUCUGUGGAAGAUGUUCUGAAGGUUCUUCAGCAGCAUGCAGACCUAGUACAGGGGUUGUGGGUUUCGAAAAGCUCAUUGCGAUGCGAAGGUGUCAAUGCUCUAGCCAGAGAUUACAUUCUUCUCUUAUUUAGCAAGAAGAAAUUCAUCCACCGGGACCAGUUAAAGGCAUUGAAAGUUCCCAGCGACAUUAUGAAAGAUAUCCUGACAUCAUUGGCUGUUGAAAGAUCUCUCUUUAGUGAUUGGAAAUUCAAGGAGCCUGAAGAUUGCUUAUUUAUGAAGGCUCAUCCAGAUAUUGUGGAGGUGCAGAAGAAAGCAUGGUCAAGUCGUGAAAAGAAUAUCUCAGAGGCUAUUCAUGGGGUUGGAAGAAAAGGUACGGCAACAGUGCCAAGGAAUCCUCUGAAUCCAGGUAUUGGUGGUAGGGGUGCUGCUUCCAGUAAUAUUGAUCAGAGAGCAAAAGGCAGUCUAGACGGAAUGCAGAGCUCUAGGACGACCACUAUGUCUGAUGAAACUCGAGAAGCUCUUCCUAAGGCACUUCUGGAACUUUUUCAUGUUCAUAAAGUUUGCAGCUUGCAACUGAUUUCCCAAGGUUUACGGGAUAUGGCAGUUUCCAAAUCUAUUCAUCCGAAAGCAGAUCCUAGAGUAGCUGUAACUGCAGCCCAUGGUGCCAAUGCCCCACUACCUGAGCUCCAGUCUGUUAUAAGUAAAGUUGCUAUUAAUAUUCAUGGUGUCUACGUUUUGAAGUCGCUGGGCAUUCCAACGAUCGAUCCACUGAGGAAUGUUGUCAUUAAUCUUUUCAUGGGCAAGGAACCCAAUGGAAGGCUGAAGAAAGCAGAUAUUGUUGAAGCUGCUAGAAUCAAACUUAAAAGGGAAAUUUCUCCAUCUGAAUAUAAUCAGGUCAUGGCUGAACUCUGUAUUUCUAGAGGUGGUGCAUGGGUGCUGAAAAGUGGUGAUGGGAAGCCAUGAUGAUGUUCAUCGUAUGGCAUCUCAAACUGACAAUCAAUUGAUUCUUUUCCCGCAAUUUUCAAAGGGGACGUGCAUCUUUUCCAGUUCCACAGGAAUACUACACACGUGAAGUCAUUGCAGCAGCCACAAGCUGCUCAAUUAGGUGAUCUUUCUUUUCAGCCUUCUGGAGAUUCUUGAUAACAAUGUUAGUUGGGCAAGGCUCAAUUGAAUUUCUAGACUGGGAAUCUCAUAUUCCCAGUAUUGUUUAGCUUUUGUUAUGCUUUGUUGAUGAGGAAUGGAAAUGCUGUGAACCAAUAAAAUCGUCUGCUGUCCUGCCGCAGUUGGUAGAGGGUAUAUAGUUUCCAUCGGCUCAAUGUAUUGGAUAAUUGUACAUAUGUAUUCCUUGGAUGGUUUUCCACCUUGGUUGGAUUUUUGAAAUGAGUUCCCUGCCUGCAUUUGAAACUCUAAUUUAUUCAAGCGUUUAAUGAUUGUGGAUAAUAUAUCUUUGAAUUUUUUUA